rnacentral:rRNA from 1 species
UACGGGGGGGGCAAGCGUUGUUCGGAAUUACUGGGCGUAAAGGGCUCGUAGGCGGCCAACUAAGUCGGACGUGAAAUCCCUCGGCUUAACCGGGGAACUGCGUCCGAUACUGGAUGGCUUGAGGUUGGGAGAGGGAUGCGGAAUUCCAGGUGUAGCGGUGAAAUGCGUAGAUAUCUGGAGGAACACCGGUGGCGAAGGCGGGUCUCUGGGCCUAUACUGACGCUGAGGAGCGAAAGCGUGGGGAGCGAACAGG